UAACACAUGAUCAACUUACCCUAUAGAGAAAAAUAACCUCGGGAAACUGAGGAUAAUCUUUCAUAGUUGAAAAGGCUUGGAAAAGUUUUUCAAUGAAAAGGAUAAGAAAAAUGGUUCUUAUCUGCUAUAGGAUAGGAUCGUGGUCGAUUAUGGUAGUUGGUGAGGUAACGGCUCACCAAGCCAAUAAUCGAUAGGGGCCGUGAGAGCGGGAGCCCCGAGAUGGGUACUGAGACAACGACCCAGGCCUUACGAGGCGCAGCAGGCGCGAAACCUCCGCAAUACACGAAAGUGUGACGGGGUUACCCAAAGUGUUCAUUAUUGAACUGUGGCAAGUGAGUAAUGUCCCUUGCUAGAAAGGAGAGGGCAAGGCUGGUGCCAGCCGCCGCGGUAAAACCAGCUCUUCAAGUGGUCGGGAUAAUUAUUGGGCUUAAAGUGUCCGUAGCCGGUUUAGUAAGUUCCUGGUAAAAUCGGGUAGCUUAACUAUCAGUAUGCUAGGAAUACUGCUAUACUAGAGGGCGGGAGAGGUCUGAGGUACUACAGGGGUAGGGGUGAAAUCUUAUAAUCCUUGUAGGACCACCAGUGGCGAAGGCGUCAGACUGGAACGCGCCUGACGGUGAGGGACGAAAGCCAGGGGAGCGAACCGGAUUAGAUACCCGGGUAGUCCUGGCCGUAAACGAUGCAUACUAGGUGAUGGUACGGCCAUGAGCCGUAUCAGUGCCGUAGGGAAACCGUUAAGUGUGCCGCCUGGGAAGUACGGUCGCAAGGCUAAAACUUA
rnacentral:rRNA from 1 species